rnacentral:rRNA from 1 species
UGCCAGCCGCCGCGGUAAUACGGAGGGUGCAAGCGUUAUCCGGAUUCAUUGGGUUUAAAGGGUGCGUAGGCGGGACAUUAAGUCAGUGGUGAAAUCUCUCAGCUCAACUGAGAAACUGCCAUUGAUACUGAUGUUCUUGAGUUUGAUUGAAGUAGGCGGAAUGAGGCAUGUAGCGGUGAAAUGCAUAGAUAUGCCUCAGAACACCGAUCGCGAAGGCAGCUUACUAAGUCAAUACUGACGCUGAGGCACGAAAGCGUGGGGAGCAAACAGGAUUAGAUA